CACCAAACUCAUCCAUUCAGCGAGUUUCCAGAGGCCCCGCCGCGUGGGCGCACGAGCUCAGGCAGCUCCCCACCCUCCAGGAGGUCACGGUGGGCGCGCAGGAGGUCACGGUGGGCGCGCAGGAGGCAGGUGGUAGCGUUCCCGCAGGUUCUUCCCACCUCCCUGUAUCCUCCCAGAUAUGUGCAUCAGAGAGGUGUGCUUUCAAACCUGCAUGGGGGAGAUAGAACCAGCUCUAAGUAUGGGGAGCUGAUUCCAGAAGCUACCUCUCCAGGAGAGGAAGGAAUGGUGGGUGGAAGCUGCUCCCAGAAUUUUUGUGGGCAACCCGGCCUUUUGCAUCCUCCCUUCUCCAUUUCUUCCUUUUUUCUUUCCCUGUUGCCAGAAUCUUAGAAUGUCAUUAUGAAUUCAUGUUGUUUAUAUGUAUUUCAAUGAAGUGCAAUAAUUAUUAUUAAUUUUUUUGAGGUACCAGGACCAAGGAUGUGGGAAGCUGGCAUUCCACCACUGAGCAACACUGGCAGUCAGUGAAAAAUUAUUUUUAUAAUGCUUUAUUGGAUAUGGGUUCACAUACCAUAAACUUCAACCUUUUAAAGAGUACAAUUCAAUAGUUUUGACUAUAUUCACAGAGUUGUGCAACCAUCACCUCUAUCUAAUUUUAGGACAUUUUCAUCACCCCAAAGAUAAAACCUCCUGAAUUCAUUACCAGUCACUCCCCAAUUCCUGGUAACCAGUAAUCUACCUUCUGUGACUCUGGAUUUGCCUAUUCAGAACAUUUCAUAUAAAUGGAACCCUACAAUAUAUGGCCUUUUGUGACUUACUUCUUUCACUUAGCAUGUCUUUAAGGGUCAUCCCUGUUGUGGCAUGUAUCAUUACUUCAUUCCUUUUUAGGGUGGAAUCACAAGCCACUAUAUGAUAAAUAAACCCCAUUUUGUUUGUCCAUUCAUCAGUCAAUGGGCAUUUGGGUUGUUUCCAUUUGGGGCUUUUUUAAGUACUG
rnacentral:lncRNA from 1 species